ensembl:snoRNA SNORA70 Small nucleolar RNA SNORA70
CUGCCACCAAUUAAGAUGACUUUGCUCUCCCCACUGGGGGCCUGGUGUGCAGUGGUUGCAAACAGUAGUGUAUGCAGCCUGUUGUUUGUAUUGGUUGCCCUAAAGGACUUUGGAGACAGCC